GACGUAGGGCGCGAGCGUUGUCCGGAUUUAUUGGGCGUAAAGAGCUCGUAGGCGGUUUGUCGCGUCUGCUGAUGGAAAACCUAAGGCUCAACCUUGGGCUUGCAGUGGGUACGGGCAGACUAGAGUGGCGGUAGGGGUGACUGGAAUUCCUGGGUGAUAGCGGUGAAAUGCGCAGAUAUCAGGGAGGGAACACCGGUGGGCCGAAGGC
rnacentral:rRNA from 1 species